GAGGAAGAAGCAUUGGAGAUGCGGCUAAUUUGAAAUUAGUUGAAGGUAAAUUAGUAUUGCCCUUUCUU
rnacentral:tRNA from 1 species